AUGAACGGCCACCUGAAUUCGCAUAAUUCCAUGCCGGCGCAAAGCAACCAAAUCAACAUCUUGUGUGGCUCCUAUGUUAUUGCCGCUCUCUCUCUCUCUCUCACGCCGGAUGGAGGUGGAAGAAAGAGCACACUUUUUUUCGGGCGACCAACGCCCCGGCGCCCAAACGCCUCCUUUAUAUUCAGCACACAGGCUACAUCAUGGCUAGGAGCAAGAGGUAGAAGAAGAGCGGCGCCGCGAGAAGCGGCUUGCGAGCAUGACAAAGUGGUCAGUGCUGUGGACUGUAUCCUGUCCCUGGUUGGUGAUAAGAAUCCGGAGAACUACUUUGUCGCCACCCAGGAUUCUGGUCUCCGGGCAAAGCUGCGAGAGGUUCCUUGUGUUCCUGUGAUAUACGGUCUGAAGAACUCCCUGUUUAUUGAGCAACCAUCCAUGCAGCAACGUAAGUUUGCUCAGUUGGAUGGGGAGAAGCGUAUUCAUAUGGAAAAAUCAGAAUUUAAGAAGCUAUUGAAGGCGUCAUCGGAAGGAAAGGCAUCUGUUGAUGGAAGCACACAUGGAGUGGCGGAGAAAAGCAAGUUUAAAAGGAACAGAGCAAAGGGCCCAAACCCACUCUCCUGCAAGAAAAAGAAACCAAAGCCCCAACCGUCAGCUGCUCAAAAUCAGGGUCCGAAGGCCGAUGGCGAGGCGAAGAGGAAGAGGGAUAGGAAGCGCAAGAGAAACGGCAAAGACAGGACUCAAGCGGAGACAGUGAGCUGA
rnacentral:rRNA from 1 species